rnacentral:rRNA from 1 species
AUGCACGCUGGCGGCGUGCCUCAUCCCUGCAAGUCGCGCGCACGGACGAGAAGCUUGCUUCUCUGAUGUUAGCGGCGGACGGGUGAGUAACACGUGGAUAACCUACCUAUAAGACUGGGAUAACUUCGGGAAACCGUAGCUAAUACCGGAUAAUAUUUUGAACCGCAUGGUUCAAAAGUGAAAGACGGUCUUGCUGUCACUUAUAGAUGGAUCCGCGCUGCAUUAGCUAGUUGGUAAGGUAACGGCUUACCAAGGCAACGAUGCAUAGCCGACCUGAGAGGGUGAUCGGCCACACUGGAACUGAGACACGGUCCAGACUCCUACGGGAGGCAGCAGUAGGGAAUCUUCCGCAAUGGGCGAAAGCCUGACGGAGCAACGCCGCGUGAGUGAUGAAGGUCUUCGGAUCGUAAAACUCUGUUAUUAGGGAAGAACAUAUGUGUAAGUAACUGUGCACAUCCUGACGGUACCUAAUCAGAAAGCCACGGCUAACUACGUG